rnacentral:rRNA from 1 species
AGAGUUUGAUCCUGGCUCAGAACGAACGUUAGCGGCGCGCCUAACACGUGCAAGUCGCACGAGAAAGGGCUUCGGCCCCGGUGCAGUGGCGCACGGGUGAGUAACACGUAGAUAAUCUACCUCCGAGUGGUGGAUAACCCUCCGAAAGGAGAGCUAAUACAGCAUAAGACCACGUCCUUAUUGGAUGGGGUCAAAGCGGGCUGAGCCAUUGGAUGCUCGCGCUUGGAGAUGAGUCUGCGGCCCAUCAGCUUGUUGGUAAGGUAAAAGCUUACCAAGGCUAAGACGGGUAGCUGGUCUGAGAGGAUGAGCAGUCACACUGGAACUGAGACACGGUCCAGACUCCUACGGGAGGCAGCAGUGGGGAAUCUUGCGCAAUGGGCGAAAGCCUGACGCAGCGACGCCGCGUGAGCGAAGAAGGCCUUCGGGUUGUAAAGCUCUGUGGGGAGGGAAGAAUAAGGGCAGGCUAAUACCCUGUCUGAUGACGGUACCUCCUUAGCAAGCACCGGCUAACUCUGUGCCAGCAGCCGCGGUAAUACAGAGGGUGCAAACGUUGUUCGGAAUUACUGGGCGUAAAGCGAGUGUAGGCUGCAACGCAAGUCGGGUGUGAAAUCCCGGGGCUCAACCCCGGAAGUGCACUCGAAACUGCGUAGCUAGAGUCUCGGAGAGGAAGGCGGAAUGCUUGGUGUAGAGGUGAAAUUCGUAGAUAUCAAGCAGAACACCCGUGGCGAAGGCGGCCUUCUGGACGAUGACUGACGCUGAGACUCGAAAGCGUGGGGAGCAAACAGGAUUAGAUACCCUGGUAGUCCACGCCGUAAACGAUGAGUGCUAGAUGUCACGGCUUUGACCGUCGUGGUGUCGUAGCUAACGCGUUAAGCACUCCGCCUCGGGAGUACGGCCGCAAGGCUAAAACUCAAAGGAAUUGACGGGGGCCCGCACAAGCGGUGGAGCAUGUGGUUUAAUCCGACGCAACGCGCAGAACCUUACCUGGGCUAGAAAUCACAGGAAUUCGUGCGAAAGCAUGAAGUGCCCUUCGGGGAAUCUGUGGUUAGGUGCUGCAUGGCUGUCGUCAGCUCGUGUCGUGAGAUGUUGGGUUAGGUCCCGCAACGAGCGCAACCCCUACCGUUAGUUGCCAUCAUUAAGUUGGGAACUCUAACGGGACUGCCGACUCGCAAGUCGGAGGAAGGUGGGGAUGACGUCAAGUCCUCAUGGCCUUUAUGUCCAGGGCUACACACGUGCUACAAUGGUCGGCACAAAGGGCCGCAAACCCGCGAGGGGGAGCUAAUCUCAAAAAACCGACCUCAGUACGGAUAAGAGUCUGCAACUCGACUCUUUGAAGGCGGAAUCGCUAGUAAUCCUUGAUCAGCAUGGCAAGGGUGAAUACGUUCCCGGGCCUUGUACACACCGCCCGUCACACCAUGGGAGUUGAUUGCUCCAGAAGUGGCUGUGCCAACCCGCAAGGGAGGCAGGUCCCCAAGGAGUGAUUGGUAACUGGGGUGAAGUCGUAACCAAGGUAACCGU